CAAGACCUGCUUGGUUCUUUCUGUUUAGGACUAUAAAGAUUGCCAAAGAAUGUGUUUACAGCAUUUCCUUUCUAACUGGGAGGUUUUGGGACUGAUUGGUGGGAUUGCUGUGGACAAAAACAAACA